CAUGCCCCAUCAGUUGGAAUUAAGCAUUUGCAAGUAAGAGAAUAGGUUUGUGAUUGCUGGCUUUGCUUCAUGGGCCCUUUAUGUAUACAGGGACAACGAUAGCCGUCCUCCAAUCUUGUGGAACACUGCUGAUACCAAGUGAAGACAUGUAAAUUUUAGUCUCAUUUUUAUAGAGGAGCAGUGUUUAAGGUGUUUAAGGUGUGGGCGGACAUUGUGUUGUAAGCUGUUUUUUGUUUUUGUUUUUUGUUUAUUCCCCUUCUGAUGAAUCUAAGUGAAUUCUUUGCUUUUGAUGUGAUGUUAUCAACAUAUUCUGACUAAAUGAGAUACAUUGUGUACAUUUAUUUACUUAGUUUUAUGCUCAGAUAUUUAGCAGCGUCUUUCAGUGUGAGAGAGAGAGAGAGAGAGAGAGAGAGAGAGAGAGAGAGAGAGAAGACUUAUUAUUGUCAAUAAUUAGUUCUAGUCUUAUCAACCGAAAUAUGAAAGAAAAAGUAAGCAUAUUACAUGAUACUCAAACGAUGAUGUGAACUUCUAUAGAUGACAUUUUUAUUUUUCACACUUACUGCAUAUGUGUCAUACGAUGACAACUAUUUUGCCUGCAGAUAUAAAAUUAGCCUUUUUCUAUAUUCGAAAUCAUUUCCUGUUUAUGUGCGACUGAAAAUUAAAGAAAAGUAAAGAAAUCGGUUGAAAACAUAUCAGUUGAAUGACUUCAAUACAAUGUAAUACAAAACUGCCGUACGAAAACCACCUGCGGUUUAUUUCACUAUUCAUACGGGACCGUACGAUUAGCCCACUUCCUUUAGCGUAGUCACGGACGUAUCCGAAUGAUGGCAGUUGUGUCACUGAAACCGAAAGUAACGUUUUUUAUAUCCGCCUCCAUCGGUGGAAUCUGUCAAUUUACAGAUCACAAUUGAGAACUAUCUUUGUAAAUCAGACUAGCUGUACAUCAUAGGGUAAGGCGGAGGAUGCAUAUCCGGAGUAUGCAGAAAAUUUGGAAAAAUUCAAAGACAAAAAGAUCAAUGGGAAAUUGAUUCCACAACACAUUGUAGACUACUGUGAUGCAGCAAAGGAAUACAGAGACAUAAACUUGACAGCUGCAAAUAUUUCUGUUGAAAUAACGGUUAAAAUAGGAGACAAAAAAAUUAAAAAUGAGGAACUCAAUAAAAUUCUAGAUGUACCUAAAAAGCAAAUAGUAUCACAAAUUCAGAAAUUUUUUUCCAAAAUUUGCUAUGAAGAAUAGGUUUAAAAGAAGAUUGUGCAAAUGAGAAUUUUUGUGCAGCCCCCCCCCCCACCCAUGAGUGGUGGGGGUAUAUAGAUUUGGUCUUGUCCGUGCAUCCGUCUGUCCGUCCAAAGUUCGUGAUGUACCUAGCUCGUAAAGUAUUUGAUAUAAAUUGAUGAAACCUUGCAGGAGUCUUUAUCAUGAUACGAACUUGCGCACCUCCUAUUUUUCGUCUGGCUCGGCCCUCUAUUUUCAGAGUUACAGCCCAUGAAAUAGUAAAAAAUGCACAUUUUUACCAUGUGACACGCCUAGCUCAAAAAGUAUUUGAUAUAGAUUCAUGAAACCUUGCAUGAGCCUUAAUCAUGAUAUGAACUUGCGCACCUCCUAUUUCUCAUCUGGCUCCGCCCCCUAUUUUCAGAGUUAUGGCCCCUGAAAUAGUCAAAACUGCCUUCACGACCCCCUGUAUUUAGCGACUCCUUGUCAUAUGCGACCCUAUUUUAUGCUCCAGACGCAAUUUACUAUUAAAAGAGUCUGAAUUAAGCAACCCCCUGCCUUAUGCGACAAGCGACUGUGAAAUCAGGCUCCCGAAUCGAUAUUUAGACUGUUUUCAGCGACUUUGAGACGCUUCCUCACAAGAUUUUACACGAUAGAGUUACCGUUCUUUAUCUCGCGUGAAGUUGUUUGAGACGAGAACUUAUUUGUUUACAAAAAAUGGCUUUUGAAAAACAUAAACUAGAAUGUGUCUGUAGGACACAGGGUGUGCCCCCUACUGGUACAUUUGUCACAAAUAAGGGGAAAUCAUUCAAAUGGUUGCAUAUGCAUAGAAUAUGGGUCAUCUUUAAUAAAAAACUAGAUCACUAGGUCAAAUCAAAGAAAAACCUUGUGUAUAGGGUAAAAACUGUAUUUAUGUCUCCCGCCACAGUGGUGUGGGAGACAUAUUGAUUCACUCCAGUCUGUGUGUCUGUCUGUCACAAAGCUGUCCGCACUCUAAGUUGAUAAUUUCUCAUCUGAUUUUCACCAAAAUUUAACAACAUGUGUUUGAUCAUGAGACCUCGGCCAACUUUGAUAACUAGUCAAAUCGGUCAAGGCAUAUUGGAGUUAUGGCCCUUGAAUUACCAAAAAUCAGGCUAUUUACUCUUGUCCGCAUUCUAAGUCGAACAUUUCUCAUCCGAUCUUCACCAAACAUUAACAAAAUGUGUUUGACUAUAAGAUCUUGGCCAAGAAUCAGUUCAGGCAUUUUGGAGUUACGGCCCUUGAAUUACCGAAAAAUUGGUCUUUUUGCUCUUGUCCGCACUCUAAGUAGAACAUUUAUCAUCCGAUCUUAACUUUACCAAAAUGUGUUAGACCAUAAGACCUCGGCAAAGUUCGAUAACUAGCCAAAUCAGUCUUGGCAUUUCGGAGUUACGGCCUUUGAAUUACCGAAAAAUCGACCUUUUUACUCUUGUCCACACCCCAAGUAAAACAUUUCUUAUCCAAUCUCCACCAGACUUUACCAAAAUGUGUUUGACCAUAAGACCUCAGCAAAGUUUGAUAACUAGCCAAAUCGGUCUAAGCAUUUCGGAGUUAGGGCCCUUGAAUUACUGAAAAAUCGGCCUUUUUACUCUUCUCUGCACUCUAAGUCGAACAUUUGUCAUCCAAUCUUCACCAAACUUGAACAAAAUAUCUUUGACCAUAAAACCUUUGCCAAGAAUCGGUUCAGGCAUUCUGGAGUUACGGCCCUUGAAUUACCGAAAAAUCGGUCUUUUUGCUCUUGUCCGCACUCUAAGUAGAACAUUUAUCAUCAGAUCUUAACCAAAUUUGAACAAAAUGUGUAUGACCAUAAGACCUCGGACAAGUUUGAUAAUGAGCGAAAUCGGUCCAGGCAUUUUGGAGUUCUAGCCCUUGAAUUGUACUGAGUAAACAGUAUAUAAAGACGGACUUGCUAUUUAGAUGAGCCCCAUGUGGUUUUUGGACGAUUUUUGUAUGAAAAGAAUUGGAACCACCGCCUUACCCUUGCAUGAUUGUAAGUGGCAACUAAUAGGGUCUUAGCAAUUGGUUUUGCAGUAACUCUAUGAUUCCAGCAGGUAUGCAAAUUUUGAUUCUAUACCCCAUAUUUUUAUUUCGAUGUAAAUGAGAUGUGGAACCAAAAUUUGUAGUCCUGUUUGGUGCCAUAUACCCUAUUACUGUAAGGAAUUCGUGGAUUUCAACUUUUGAAGAUAAAAUGAAUGGGAAUUUUACGUGUUCAUUGGGAUUAAAUUUUGUGGAUUGACUCAACCACGAAAUCCACGAAAAUUAGUCCCCCACGAAUAUUAAUGAUUUCACAGUAUGUGUUGGUGUGCCGUAAAACUUUUCUCCAAAGCAGCUCUAGUUUUCAAUUGAUCUUCAUGAAAAUUGGUCAGAUUGAUAGCCGUGGUGAAAUUAAGGUCAAGUUUGAGUAUAGUUAAACUGUCAAAAACUAGGCUGCUAACACAAAUCAAAGAAAAACGUUUUGUAUGCCAUGGAGGCUGUAUUUUUAAAUUGAGGUUUAUGAAAUUUGGGAAUUAAAUAUCACCUGGCACCUAUGUUCCCCUUCAUGAGACAACAUGUCAUGCACAAAAUCAGGAUCCCUGGCUCAAAGGUCAAGCUCAACAGGGCUUUUUUCAUGUCCGGUCCAUAACUCUGCAGUCCAUUAAGGGAUCUUAAUAUUACUUGGCACUAAUGUUCCCCAGGUUAACACAGCACGUAAUGUGCAAAACACAUCAAAAUCUCGGAGGUCAAACAUCAAAAGGGUUUUUCUGCUAUCCCGUCCAGAACUCUGUCGUCCAUCAAGGGAUCACAAUAUUACUUGGCACAAAUGAUCCCGAUUAUAAGAUCAAAGGUCAAUAGGAUUUUUUUCCUGUGUGAUCUAUAACUUUGUCAUGCAAAAAUAUACCCUGGGACGAGACAACAUGUCAUCCGCAAAACCCGAGUCCUUGGUCUAAAGUCACACUUAGUGGCCAAAUGUCAGAUACAAAAAUGACUUUGUUCAUAGCAAUUUCUCUUCAAGCAUGGAGGGAUUUGGUGUAACUUGGCAAAAACGUACACUACUGUAAGAUUGAUUGUAUUAUGCACAAGAACUAGGUCCCUAGGUGUAAGGCCAAGGUCACACAAGAUCAAUUUAAGAAUGACUUCUUCCUGAGCAUCUUUCAUUCAUGGAGAAAGUUUGAUGUAACUUGGCACAAAUGUUCCGUUCCCUUAUUGUUACUAUCAAUGGAGGAUAUUCUUACAUUUUCAUUACUGGCUGUACAGCAAAAUCAACACCACUUUUAUGUGGUACAGCAUUGAUGUUAAAUAGACAUUUCAGGUGUAUUUUGACCUAUCUAUAGUUGGAAAAGAGUUUUGUGUGGAAUUAUGAUCGAUUUUUUUUGGAUUAAUUCCAUUUUAUUGUUACUAUAAAUAACUUAUAUGACAGCUGGCAAAAAAUUCAAUAUGAAAUCAA